AGUGAACGCUGGCGGUAGGCCUAACACAUGCAAGUCGAACGGCAGCACAGUAAGAGCCUGCUCUUACGGGUGGCGAGUGGCGGACGGGUGAGGAAUACAUCGGAAUCUACUUUUUCGUGGGGGAUAACGUAGGGAAACUUACGCUAAUACCGCAUACGACCUACGGGUGAAAGCAGGGGAUCUUCGGACCUUGCGCGAUUGAAUGAGCCGAUGUCGGAUUAGCUAGUUGGCGGGGUAAAGGCCCACCAAGGCGACGAUCCGUAGCUGGUCUGAGAGGAUGAUCAGCCACACUGGAACUGAGACACGGUACAGACUCCUACGGGAGGCAGCAGUGGGGAAUAUUGGACAAUGGGCGCAAGCCUGAUCCAGCCAUACCGCGUGGGUGAAGAAGGCCUUCGGGUUGUAAAGCCCUUUUGUUGGGAAAGAAAAGCAGCAGGUUAAUACCCCGCUGUUCUGACGGUACCCAAAGAAUAAGCACCGGCUAACUUCGUG
rnacentral:rRNA from 1 species